UGGGAAGAGAAUAUAAAUACUCUGGCAGGACUGGAAGGUCUUUUGAUGACAGCAACAGAAAGGGGCAUGAACAGGUGGCAAGGGCUUCAAGAGGAUGCCAGGGGUAUGAAAGCAGCAACAAAGACCAAACAGGUCAACAAGCCUGUGUUCGAGUAUGAGACCACAUGGAACAGAGGAAGCCACACCAACUGGGACCACUUUAAGCCAGUCAGGCCCCAGCCAACCCAGGAGCUGACCACAGAAGCGUGAGUGAGCAAAACAGAGUCUGGAAAACUUGCCCAGCUUGGCUUAGCCCAAAAUCACCAAGCUACACAAUGAAUUUCGAGCUUGAGAAGACGCCAUGGUACAUCCGGAUCAUCUCCCAUCACGGUCAAGGUGGCUUCAAAUUCUCCCUCAACUCGAAACUUCACCCGGCCAUUUGCUUUUAAAAGAUGAAGAAGAAGAAGAAGAAGAAGAAGAAGAAGUCGUCGUCUACUUUGCUAGCAAAUAACCAGCUUCCCGCUAGCCUAGAACAUUCAAUUUUGCUUACAAGAAAUUUUAAAUAGCUUGAAAGUUCUUUCAGAAGUGUCCAAAGAACUCAGUAGUUCCUGCAUAAGCAAUAGCCAAAGGCAGUGAACACUUCUAACAUCAACUGACAAUUUUCUCUUGAGGUAUAACUCUGGGGCUUCAUCUCUCCUCCAGCCCCAGGUGAUCUCCCUGUUCCCAGCUUCACAUACCACCAUUUUAUCUCCAGGUACUAAAAUUUUAUCCCUUGGUACUAAAGAGAAACGAUCGGUUGACAAGUCACAGAUGUGAACACUACCUGAAUUGCAGACCAAACCCUCAAAAUGAGAGUUCUUUGAAUGAAACCCCAAAAGCUGUUUGAAAAAAAUUCUAACAAGUCAAUUCUUAAAAAAGAUUAACUUCCGGUACAUACCAACUGUAAGAUUGGCUAACUGAGGAGGGAGAUCUGUGGUCACAAGCCUAUGUCUAAGAAUCUGAUUGAGCUGGUGAAGUGUGGCUUGUUUCUCAAUCUUGGUAAUUGGGUCUGGAGGAAUAAUUUUAUCCUACAAAAAAAAUUCAGUGAUUUUAUAACCAUGUACAAAGAGACACAACUCUUACCUGCACCUGUCUUAACAUAAUAUUUUCUCACUUUGCCCAAGAGGAUCUUAACACUCAUUUCUUAAGUCGACAUCCAGUAAUAGUGAUAUGCCCCUUAACUAUGGUGCAUCAGAGUGCCACCCAGCUGAGACAGUAAUGCAACAUGAUCUUCUUCACGCUCUAUUUAUGAAAUCAAGUUCAUGUCAUUAGAUGACUUUCACCACUUCUUAAAAGUAUAAAAUAAAAUAGCACCACAUCAGUAAACUAUUACUGCACUACUUAAAAAAAAAAAAAGCUUCCAAAAAGCAACUAGCAUACCGUAUUUUCACAUAU